rnacentral:rRNA from 1 species
GACGUAGGGCGCGAGCGUUGUCCGGAUUUAUUGGGCGUAAAGAGCUCGUAGGCGGCUUGUCGCGUCGACUGUGAAAUCCCGCGGCUCAACUGCGGGUCUGCAGUCGAUACGGGCAGGCUAGAGUUCGGUAGGGGAGACUGGAAUUCCUGGUGUAGCGGUGAAAUGCGCAGAUAUCGGGAGGAACACCAAUGGCGAAGGCAGCUUGCUGGGCCUUUUUCUGACGCUGAGGAACGAAAAGCGUGGGGGAGCGAACAGG